rnacentral:rRNA from 1 species
GUCUUUUUGAAUUAAAUUAAAAGUCUAACCUGCCCACUGAAAGUUUUAAAUGGCCGCAGUAUUCUAACUGUGCAAAGGUAGCAUAAUCAUUAGUCUUUUAAUUGAAGGCUGGAAUGAAUGGUUGGACGAAAUAUUAACUGUUUCAUUUAAAUUUUAAAUAGAAUUUUAUUUUUUAGUUAAAAAGCUAAAAUAAAUUUAAAAGACGAGAAGACCCUAUAAAUCUUUAUAUUUUGUUUAUUUUAGCUAUAAAGAUUAUUUUUGUUAUAAUAAAUUAAAAUAUUUUAUUGGGGUGAUAUUAAAAUUUAAAAAACUUUUAAUUUUAAAAUCCAUUAAUUUAUGAAUAAUUGAUCCAUUAAUAUUGAUUAAAAAUUUAAGUUACUUUAGGGAUAACAGCGUAAUUUUUUUGGAGAGUUCAUAUCGAUAAAAAAGAUUGCGACCUCGAUGUUGGAUUAAGAUAUAAUUUUGGGUGUAGCCGUUCAAAUUUUAAGUCUGUUCGACUUUUAAAUUCUU